AUACACCUACGGGUGGCAGCAACAGGGAAUCGUACGCAAUGGACGAAAGUCUGACGUCGCAAUGCCGCGUGGAGGAUGAAGGCCUUCGGGUCGUAAACUUCUUUUAUAGUAAUAGAGAUGUUAUUAAGAAUAAGUGACUGCUAACUCUGUGCCAGCAGCAGCGGUAAUACAGAGGUCACAAGCGUUAUCCGGAUUUAUUGGGCGUAAAGCGUUUCGUAGGCGGCCCUGAAAGUUAUUUUUCAAAGACCACGGCUUAACCGAGGGAAGGGAGGUAAUACUACAGAGCUUGAAAUAUGGUGGGGCUUCUGGAACUGAUGGUGUAGUAGUGAAAUACGUUGAUAUCAUCAGGAACUCCAAGGGCGAAGGCAGGAAGCUAACCAUUUUUUGACGCUGAGGAACGACAGCUAGGGGAGCGAAAGGGAUUAGAGACCCCUGUAGUCCUAGCCGUAAACUAUGCUCGCUAGGGGUAGGACUCGCUAAGGUUAUAUCCUUUGUGAGAUUUUCCAUUUUCUGACUUUCCAUUUUCCAUUAAAUUUUCAAUUGAUCAAUUUUUCAAUUGUUAAAUAAAAUGGCAGAUGGUAAAUAAUGAAAUGGACGAUCUCGCAAAAAUGUAAUUUUUGCGAGCUCUGCCCCGUAAGCUAACGCGUUAAGCGAGCCGCCUGGGGAGUACGGCCGCAAGGCUAAAACUCAAAGGAAUUGACGGGGACCCGCACAACCAGUGGAGCAUGUCUACCGUACAUGAACCCAGAAAUGGGAUCAAAUCUAAAUUUAUUUGGAUGGUAGAACAGGUGUUGCAUGGCCGUCGUCAGCUCGUGCCGUAGGGUGUUCCCUUCAGUGGGGUAACGAGCGCAACCCUCGCCCUGAGUUAAAUAUUCUCAGGGGACUUUCUGAAUUUAUUUCAGGAGGAAGUGAGGACGACGUCAGGUCAGCAUGGCCCUUAUGACUGGGGCUACACACAUGCUACAAUGGAGCCGACAGAGGGUAGCCAAGCCGUAAGGCGGAGCUAACCCCAUCAAACGGCUUCUCAGUUGGGAUUGAGGGCUGCAAUUCGCCCUCAUGAACGCGGAAUUGGUAGUAAUCGCGCAUCAGCUAUGGCGCGGUGAAUACGUUCUCGGGUCUUGUACACAGAAUAAAUGCGCGCCAAGCAGCUUUCUAGACAAAGUGGUUUGAAUCCACUCCAUG
rnacentral:ncRNA from 1 species